rnacentral:rRNA from 1 species
GACGUAGGAGGCGAGCGUUAUCCGGAUUCACUGGGCGUAAAGCGCAUGUAGGCGGCUGGACAAGUCGUGUGUUAAAGCCCCUGGCUCAACUGGGGGGAGGUCAUGCGAGACUGUACGGCUGGAGGGCAACAGAGGCACGUGGAACUCCCGGUGUAGCGGUGGAAUGCGUAGAGAUCGGGAAGAACACCAGUGGCGAAGGCGACGUGCUGGGUUGCACCUGACGCUGAGAUGCGAAAGUGUGGGGAGCAAACGGG